rnacentral:rRNA from 1 species
CAUGCAAGUCGAACGAGGAUAUACUCUUCGGAGUAUAAACCGAGUGGCGAAAGGGUGAGUAAUGCAUAGAUGACAUGCCUUUAGGAUAAGAAUAUCUUUGUGAAAACGGAGUUAAUGCUUAAUAAUUACGAAGCAAAAUCAAUUAGUUUCGUCAAAGGGAGGGCAGCAAUGCCUUUCGCCUAAAGAGUGGUUUAUGUCCUAUCAGCUUGUUGGUGGGGUAAUGGCCUACCAAGGCAAAGACGGGUAGCCGGCCUUAGAGGGUGGUCGGCCACACUGGGACUGAGACACUGCCCAGACUCCUACGGGAGGCUGCAGUCGAGAAUCAUUCGCAAUGCCCGAAAGGGUGACGAUGCGACGCCGCGUGAGCGAAGAAGGCCUUAGGGUUGUAAAGCUCUGUCGAGGGUUAUGAAAUAUAGAUGGGUUAAUACCCCAUUUAUUUGACAAAAGCCCAAAAGAAGCCACGGCUAACUCUGUGCCAGCAGCCGCGGUAAUACAGAGGUGGCGAGCGUUGUUCGGUAUUAUUGGGCGUAAAGAGCACGUAGGUGGGGUUUGUAAGUCAGGUGUGAAAGCCUUCUGUUCAAAGGAAGAACGGCAUCUGAAACUGCAGAUCUUGAGUGUAGGAGGGGAGAGUGGAACUUCUGGUGGAGCGGUGAAAUGCGUAGAUAUCAGAAGGAACGUCGGCGGCGAAAGCGACUCUCUGGCCUGUUACUGACACUGAGGUGCGAAAGUUAGGGGGGCAAACGGGAUUGGAUACCCCGGUAGUCCUAACCGUAAACGAUGGGCACUAAGUAGAGGGAAUUACCAAUGUUCUCUCUGCCGUAGCUAACGCAUUAAGUGCCCCGCCUGGGGAGUACGGCCGCAAGGCUAAAACUCAAAAGAAUUGACGGGGGCUCGCACAAGCGGUGGAGCAUGUGGCUUAAUUCGAUGCAACGCGAAAAACCUUACCGGGGUUUGACAUGGUAGAAGUAGGAGCCCGAAAGGGUAGCCAACGGUAUCCAGUCCGUAACUAUCACAGGUGUUGCAUGGCUGUCGUCAGCUCGUGUCGUGAGACGUUGGGUUAAGUCCCCUAACGAGCGAAACCCUUGUUUUUAGUUACCAUCGGGUUAUGCCGGGUACUCUAGAAAGACUGCCGUCGUCAAGACGGAGGAAGGUGGGGAUGACGUCAAGUCAUCAUGGCCCUUAUACCCCGGGCUGCACAGGUGCUACAAUGGUCGGUACAAAAGGAAGCAAGACCGAGAGGUGGAGCGAAUCCUAAAAAGCCGAUCUCAGUUCGGAUUGGAGGCUGAAAUUCGCCUCCAUGAAGUUGGAAUCGCUAGUAAUCGCGGAUCAUCAGCGCCGCGGUGAAUAUGUUCCCGAGCCUUGUACACACCGCCCGUCAAGCCACCCAAGUAAGAUGCACCUGAAAACAUUUAUCUAACCACUUGUGGAGGAAAAUGUUGAAGGAGUGUUUUGUGAGGAGGACUAAGUCGUAACAAGGUAGUCGUAGGAGAACCUGCGGCUGGAUCACCUCCUUUCU